GAUGAACGCUGGCGGCGUGCCUAAUACAUGCAAGUAGAGCGCUGAAGGAGGAGCUUGCUCUUCUGGAUGAGUUGCGAACGGGUGAGUAACGCGUAGGUAACCUGCCUGGUAGCGGAGGAUAACUAUUGGAAACGAUAGCUAAUACCGCAUGACAACAGUUAUUGCAUGAUAACUGUUUAAAAGGGGCAACUGCUCCACUACCAGAUGGACCUGCGUUGUAUUAGCUAGUUGGUGAGGUAACGGCUCACCAAGGCGACGAUACAUAGCCGACCUGAGAGGGUGAUCGGCCACACUGGGACUGAGACACGGCCCAGACUCCUACGGGAGGCAGCAGUAGGGAAUCUUCGGCAAUGGACGGAAGUCUGACCGAGCAACGCCGCGUGAGUGAAGAAGGUUUUCGGAUCGUAAAGCUCUGUUGUAAGAGAAGAACGAGUGUGAGAGUGGAAAGUUCACACUGUGACGGUAUCUUACCAGAAAGAGACGGCUAACUACGUG
rnacentral:rRNA from 1 species